rnacentral:antisense_RNA from 1 species
CCGUAAUUCUGAGGCCUCACAGCCAUGUGGAACUGCCCCAUCCAAUCACGAGAAAGCUCCAGGGCUUUGUGACAAGAUGCAGUCCCAACAUCCUGUUUUGGUCUAACCAUAACUUGGGUGUUCCGCUCCAAACACGACCUCUGUGUCUGAACACUCAGCCCACUAGCAUUUGUGAUUCUGAGUCCUCAGCCGCAGAGAAGCAGGAGGAAAACAGGAGUUGUCACUGGUAGAGAAGGAAGCAGCCCAAGGGACAAAGGUCAGGAUACGGUUACGCAAAUGGUGCUAGCCCACACCCUCCUGGAGAGAGGCCUGGAAGAUGGGGGGGUCAUUCAGAGACCCCAGUUGUUGGGGGGACCUGCUUUCCAGGAGAAGAAAGGAGCUUCAGAACCUUCAAUACCUGCUCCUGUGCCCCACCAGGCUGUGGCCUCUUUCAUAAGGAAAGAGCAAUAAGUCUUCAGGAGAGAACUAACAUCCAAAUGGAUUCCCAGAAAACUUUUCCCUCGAUGUACCAGCAAACACCUACAAUGCCUGGAAAAGCUGCCUCUGCGACCACAAUGCAGAUCACACGUCCUGUCCCAGCCCCUGCAGCCUCCACGCGGCGGGUGAGCUGCCAGGCACGGGAAGGCAGCACUGGCGAGCAGAACUGGCCCAUUUUGCAGAUAGGAAGCUGAGCCUCAGGG